rnacentral:rRNA from 1 species
GAUGAACGCUGGCGGCGUGCCUAAUACAUGCAAGUCGAGCGAACGGACGAUAAGCUUGCUUCUCUGAUGUUAGCGGCGGACGGGUGAGUAACACAUGGAUAACCUACCUAUAAGACUGGGAUAACUUCGGGAAACCGUAGCUAAUACCGGAUAAUAUUUUGAACCUCAGGGUUCAAAAGUGAAAGACGGUCUUGCUGUCACUUAUAGAUGGAUCCGCGCUGCAUUAGCUAGUUGGUAAGGUAACGGCUUACCAAGGCAACGAUGCAUAGCCGACCUGAGAGGGUGAUCGGCCACACUGGAACUGAGACACGGUCCAGACUCCGACGGGAGGCAGCAGUAGGGAAUCUUCCGAAAUGGGGGAAAGCCUGAAGGAGCAACGCCGCGUGAGUGAUGAAGGUCUUCGGAUCGUAAAACUCUGUUAUGAGGGAAGAACAUAUGUGUAAGUAACUGUGCACAUCUUGACGGUACCUACUCAGAAAGCAACGGCUAACUACGUG